rnacentral:lncRNA from 1 species
UGUAGCAUGUUACUUUUAUGUUUUUACUUUCUAGUUUUGAAGGGAGAAGAACACACUUAAGAGUCGAUGUCUCAGCUUCACUUCUCAGUAUCCUUCAUAGGUUACUUUUUCUAAGACAUGAUCAAUUGAUAAACAUUCAAGUAAUUGGGAAAUUCACUUUUGAAAGACAGCCAUUAAAAGAAGAGAACCAAGUAUCUAAAUACUCUGCUGAGUAUCGUACACAAUUGAGUGAGACUUUGACAACACAUAGUAUCCAAGUCCUUAUUACUUACAUUUUCUCCACUAUUCAAUUUUAAAUUAGACUCUUACUCUUAGAUGUUUUGGAUCUCUUAACAAUGAAGUAAUCCCAGACGGAAGUCACAGUGGUUCCUAGCAUUAUGAAUGUGAAAGGCGUAGUUGAAUAGUUGAAUUUCUCUCUCCUUUUCAUUUGAUCUCUUGAAAGGUGUGGCUUUUGAGUUGCUGCUAAUAAUCCUAUGUAUUUUCCAUCAUUUCCCUUAGAGACAAGUCCAAGAUAGUUAGUUAUCCAUUUUUCUAAUAAUUUCAUCAAUAUGUAAAUUAACACUGGGAAACAGCACACCUCUCAACUAUUUUGAUAGAAGAUCUACUAAAAGUGAGACUGUCCUUAAUGUGAGAAAUAAUUGAGAAAAAAUAUCUGCUAAAGCGAGAUUGUCCUUAAUGUGAGAAAGUA